UAAACUAGGAUUAGAUACCCUAUUAUUUUAAAUGUAAAAAUUUGGAAAUACUAAAUUAGUAUUAGUUAUGUUCUUGAAAAUUAAAAAAUUUGGCGGUAUUUUAGUCUUUUCAGAGGAAUCUGUCCUGUAAUUGAUAGUCCACGAUUAAAUUUACUUUAUUUAUUAAUUUAUAUAUCGUCGUAGUUUGAAUAUUUUAAAAGAAUAUUAAUAUUCAGAAUUUUAAAUUAAAAAAUAAAUCAGAUCAAGGUGUAGUUUAUAAUAAAGAAGCGAUGGAUUACAAUAAAUUUAUUUUAGGAUAAUUUAUUUAAAAUAAAUUUGAAUUUGGAUUUGAGAGUAAUUUUAAAUAUUUUUUUAAUAUGAUUAUAGCUCUAAAAUAUGCACACAUCGCCCGUCGCUCUUAA
rnacentral:rRNA from 1 species